rnacentral:sRNA from 1 species
AUCGGUAGGUGAGGCUACAUAGCGGAUACGGGCUGCUGCCGUGACCUGAUGGAGACAUCAAUAACUGGUGAGCAGGGCAUGUCGAGUUAAGGCAUGUCCUAAUGCAGUUUCAUCGCCCCUAUGAGCUAAAACUUGAACGAUGGUUG